AGUCACCAGGCUGCUAAGUCAUCAGGCUGCUGAGUCACCGAGGCUGCUGAGUCAUGCGAAGCCACGUGCCCUCUUCUGAUUCGACCGAGGAGGAGGCCCAAUCCGAAGCAGCCAGCUCCCCAGCCGAAGCUUCGCCCAACUGCUGCGUGUGUCCGAGCCUCGCUUAACCUAACUCUGAGCCUCGCAGGUGCGCCAGUAAGUCGCGGUCCACUUAGAAGCCGCCAGCGAGCCCUCACAGGUGCGAGCCAUGUGCGAGCCAUGUGCGAGCCUUCGCCUGCGAGCCUUCUCAGCCGUUGGAUCAGAAGCUUCUCAGCCGUCCGAUCAGAAGUUUCCCCCUAUAAAUAGAAGGCUGCGAGCCUUCUCGGAUAUUUUUAAGAAAUUGCCACUUUUAACCCCUAAACCCAUAUUUCCUUCAUCUUAACAUCCCGCAAAACCCCGGUAUCGAUUGUAAAGCCCGGAAUACCCCACGAAGUGCCCGCGAAGCCUGAAAAAUUUAUCUUUUCGGUUUCAAAGCCCGACUUUUGCAGAGCCCGGUUUCUCAAUAAAACUCCCGGUUUUAUUAGAAACAAUCGUUUUAGGAAACGAAUUGCUGCCCGAUUUUCACCAAAAUAUGUGAGUGUGUAGUUACUUUCAAUUUACACAUAGCUAUGAAGUAUUUACAUUGAAAUACGUGUUAUGUUUAAAUAUGCUAAUUGUUUAUUCGAGGUGACUGUUGAAUUGAUGUUUUAUACAAGUUUUAAAUUGUAUAUGCUUUUUAUCUACAAAAUGUGUUGGGUAGAACAUGGGUAGAUAUAAUAGUUGUUGUGUGAUAAAAUGAAAUAAUGAGAGGCCUCGUUAUAGAUGUUAUUGAUGAUCUAGUCAUCUAGCGGAGUAUAGAUGACGACCACGGACUAUUCUAGACAGUCCAGUGGAACACUAGCAGGCUAGCAACCUGUAGGUGUUUAUUCGAACUGUGUGUUUAUUUGAACUGUGUGCUCACCAGAUGUACUCCAUCCCCCACAUGGUUGCCUUUAGGACAUUUAUUGCUGAGGAAUCCCCUUAGCAGUAGUGUCCAUCCCGAUGAUAAUCCUUAGGCUAGGUCCCUUGUGAUAGGUGUUUAGGGACGUAAAGUGAGGACAACGGGAAUGGGUAAUCAGGGUUAUUGUUGAUUGGUGAACUUAAUAAGUAUAUUAUUAUUGUGGGUUGAAAAACCCUAUAUGCUCACCAGGCUCCCAAGCCUGACCCACUCAGUUUUAUGAUUACAGGUAGUGGACCCCGAGCAUAGUCGGAGGAUGACGAGAGAUUUUUGGAUUAUAGGCCAGUAGUUGUAAAUAACUGUUGAAAGGCUUAUAAUGUCUUGUUUAUGCUUUUGAUCUGUAUCGGAACAUGACAUCCCGAGGUUUUGAUAUAUAUGGAAAAUAUAUACCUUCUUAAUGAAGGAUUUUGAUAAACUUUUAUCAUAUGUUGUUUGGGGACCAAUUCCGCAACAUCUUUUAAAAAGAUUUCUCUGAUUUUAUUUUAAAAAGCAUAAAUUAAAUCGGUCUUUUCUGGCCGAGAAAUUAGGGGAUGUCACACUUGGUAUCAGAGCAUUAGUUUAAGCGAACUAAGAAAUUGUAGAAUUUCUAGACUUGAACUUAGAAUGCUAAGUGAUGAUUGUGAGAUGAGUGUCUACCAUAUUUUAGACACGAGCACUAGUUUAUUUUAGGGAAGAUGCCUAAAAUGCCCUUAUGUGCUAAAUGCUAUGUGUUUGCCAUGUGUGCCAUUAUUUGUUCGGAUCUAUGGUCUGUUGCCGACCGGAUCUGGAAACCUUAUGUGUGUAGGAUUCUAAGCGUAUGAAUACGAGAUUAGAACUAACAUGUAAACGUUUCGGAGUGAUAAGGGAAUUGACAUGUCUAACAAGGAUAAAGACCUAAAUUCGCCUUAUUCGGUAUAUAGAUUGUAAUGGCAAGAACUCGGAGUGGAGCUGGAAAUGCAAACAGAAACCAACAACCUCAACCUCCAGUGGUGGAACAGGUGCCUAUAGUAGGAGCUGCACCCGAACCCAUCACCAUGGCUGGAGUACGAACUAUGAUUCAGGCCAUGUUGGCUGAACAGAGGGAGGAAUUGAGGCAAAUGUUGCUGAACGACAGGGAUGAACCUUCAGUUCCUGUUGAACAACGUGAACUAAAUGACGAUCGAUCUGAAGAAGGGAACAACAGUAGAUCGGUUGGUCAUAGUGAACCGCUUGUGGUUGGGAGGAAUAACCACGAGGGUAGAAUGGAGAGAAAUGGGUGCAAGUAUAAGGACUUUAUGACUUGCAAGCCAUCGACCUUCAAUGGAAAAGAAGAUCUUGUCGGAGUAAUGGAUUGGAUCUCGGAAAUGGAGUUGGCUUUCAUGACUUGUGAUUGCCAAAGCAAGUUACAAACUACGUUUGCAGUACGUCAGUUCAGGGGUAGUGCAGCUCGUUGGUGGAGCACUUUGGGGAAAACCCUAAGCCCUAAUGAGCCACUGCAAUUAACUUGGGCAGAGUUCUUGGUGCACUUCAAGCGCAAGUACUGCUCGGCCCAAAACGUACUUGAGUUAGAAAACCAAUUUCUAACGUUGCAGAAGGGGAGUAUGACCGUUGACGAAUAUACGAAUAACUUCACAGACAAAAUGGAGUUUGCUUUGCGUAUUGUCCCAGAUGAGUUGGCAAAAAUAGACAGGUACGCAAAGGGACUUCCAUGGGAGUACGCGGUGCUAGUACGUCAAACACUUACUUUGGAGGCAGCUAUCUGGGCUGCCAAGUCUGUGGAGGACAUGAUUAAGGGAAGAGCUGCCAGCAAAGUCGAGGUUGGCGAGAAGAGGAAAUUUGAAGGGUCUGCUAAACCCAACAAAAAGAGCAAGUUCGGUUCAAAGGAGUUCAGGGGAGGAAAUGAAUUUAAAUGGUGCGAGAAGUGCAAGAAGAAGCACUCGGGAAAAUGUGGCGAGGAAGUAACCUGCUACAAGUGUGAGAAACGGGGCACUAUGCCAAUGAGUGCACCACCAACAAGAGGGUGUGCUACGAGUGCCGUGAAGAAGGGCAUAUUGCUAAGGAUUGCCCAAAGCAGAAAGAUGUGGGAAGGUCCAACAUACCACUAAAGCCGAAGGCGAGAGCCUUCCAAAUGACGUUCGAGGCUGCGAAGGAGGCAGCAGACGUCGCUUCAGGUACCUUUCUUGUAAAUGGUUUGCCUGCAAAUAUACUAUUUGAUUCCGGAGCCAAUUACUCCUUUGUGUCGCAUAAAUUUGGUGGAAGAUUAGCAUUGCCUGUAGAAAAACUAGAUAAUGCUCUGAUUGUAGAAGUUGCCAGUGGCAAACUCGUACCUGUUAGUAAUCGUAUUAGGAACAUCGUCAUUGACCUAAACGGAAACGAAUUCCAUGAGGAACUAUUACCCAUAGAGUUAAACGGUUUCGACAUCGUUUUGGGUAUGGAUUGGCUUAGCGCCAACGAUGCCGAGAUAUUAUGCCAAAAGAAGAUAGUUAGGAUAAACCCACCCGGAAAGGAAUCAUUUAUGGUGUACGGGGACAAACGCAGAGUAACUUCUGGAAUCAUCUCCCUGAUGAAAGCCAGGAAAUGUUUGUCCAAAGGAUGUGCAUCAUACUUGGCAUUCGUAAUCGAUGCUAAGAAAGAAAAGAAAGAGGUGCAGAAUAUACCGGUUGUGUGCGAUUAUCCGGAAGUCUUUCCCGAAGAUCUUCCCGGAUUACCACCUGAUAGACAAGUGGAGUUUCGUAUAGACUUGUUACCAGGAACAACACCGAUAGCAAAGCCACCUUACCGAUUAGCACCGACGGAGAUGAAGGAGCUCAUGACACAACUUCAGGAGUUGUUGGACAGCGGAUUCAUUCGACCUAGUUCAUCACCCUGGGGAGCUCCGGUGUUAUUCGUGAAGAAGAAGGACGGAAGCAUGAGGAUGUGCAUAGACUACCGAGAGCUGAAUAAGGCAACGGUGAAGAACAAGUAUCCAUUGCCGAGGAUUGAUGACCUAUUCGAUCAGCUGCAAGGUUCGAGCUACUUCUCAAAGAUCGAUCUUAGGUCAGGAUAUCAUCAGCUGAAGGUGAGAGAGCAGGAUAUUGAGAAGACUGCAUUCAGAACAAGAUAUGGACACUACGAGUUCUUGGUUAUGUCAUUCGGACUAACCAAUGCUCCCGCAGCAUUCAUGGAUUUGAUGAAUAGGGUCUGUAAACCAUUCCUCGAUAAAUCUGUGAUAGUGUUCAUCGACGACAUUCUUAUUUACUCGAAAAGCCAGGAGGAGCAUGGCAAGCAUCUACGAGAAGUGUUGGAGGUGUUAAAGAAGGAGAAGCUUUUUGCGAAGUUCUCCAAAUGCGACUUCUGGAUACGGGAAGUCCAAUUCUUGGGUCAUGUUGUUAACCAAGAAGGAAUAAUGGUUGACCCCGCCAAGAUCGAGGCUGUAAUGAAGUGGGAACGUCCGAAGAGUCCCACGGAGGUUCGAAGCUUUCUAGGAUUAGCCGGAUAUUACCGACGAUUUAUCCAAGGCUUUUCUUCGAUAGCUGCUCCAUUAACAGCUUUGACCCAUAAAGGAGCUACGUAUACAUGGAGUGAGAAACACGAUGAGGCGUUCGAGAAGCUAAAGAAGAAGUUAUGUGAAGCACCGAUACUUUCUCUACCCGAUGGAGUUGAAGAUUUCGCGGUUUAUAGUGAUGCAUCUGGAGUCGGGUUGGGUUGUGUUCUGACCCAAAGAGAAAAGGUGAUAGCAUACGCAUCUCGACAAUUGAAAGAGCACGAAAAGAACUACCCCACUCAUGAUCUGGAGUUGGCAGCGGUAGUAUUUGCCUUAAAGAUAUGGAGGCAUUACCUCUACGGCACGAAGUGUAAGCUCUUCACUGAUCAUAAGAGUCUCCAGUAUCUCUUUAAUCAGAAGGAGUUGAACAUGAGGCAACGACGCUGGCUAGAGCUUCUCAAGGACUACGACUGUGAGAUACUUUACCACCCAGGUAAAGCAAAUAUUGUUGCUGAUGCUCUCAGUCGGAAAGUCAAUCUUGAAAGAAAAAGGCCAAGAGCGUUAAGAAUUGAAGUCGUCUCGACGAUUGUGGAAAGUAUCAGGAAAGCUCAAGAAGAAGCCUUAGAAAAGAAUGACCGAAAGGAAGAACGUUUGGGAAAAACGUUAGUGUUCGGUACAAACAGUCGAGGACUGAAGGUAUUCCAAGAUCGAAUCUGGGUACCUAAGAUGGGAGGAAUAAGAGAUCUUCUAAUGGAAGAAGCACACAAGACCAUGUACUCGAUUCAUCCCGGUAGCACUAAAAUGUAUAGGGACCUAAAACCCUACUACUGGUGGCCGACGAUGAAGCUCGAUGUUGCGAAGUAUGUGGCCGAGUGCGUAACAUGUGCGAGGGUUAAGGCACAACAUCAGAAACCGUAUGGGAGUUUAGAACCUUUACCUGUACCCAUGGGUAAAUGGGAAGACAUCACCAUGGAUUUUGUGACUAAACUGCCCAGAACAAGGAACGGUCACGACAUGAUUUGGGUGGUCGUUGAUCGCUUCACUAAGAGUGCGCAUUUCAUAGCGGCCAAAGAGAAAUGGUCUAUGGAUAAACUUGCGAAUUCUUACGUGAAGGAAAUUGUGAGGCUUCACGGUGUUCCGUUAACGAUUGUGUCCGAUCGUGAUAGCCGUUUUACCUCAAGGUUUUGGAGGAGUCUACAAGAGGAAUUGGGUACCAAGUUGUGUUUGAGUACAGCUUACCAUCCGCAAACCGAUGGUCAGAGCGAGCGAACGAUUCAAACAUUGGAGGAUAUGCUGAGAGCAUGUACCCUAGAAUUCCAAGGUAACUGGGAUGAACACUUACCUUUAGUAGAAUUCUCCUAUAAUAAUAGUUUCCACUCAAGCAUUAAGAUGGCACCUUAUCACGCUUUGUAUGGGGAGAAGUGUCGAACGCCAUCAUGUUGGCUGGAAGCUGGGGAAAAGCAGUUUAUGGGACCUGAAAUAGUCCAUGAGACUGCUGAAAAGUUGAAAGUGAUAAGGGAAAGGAUGUUAGCUGCUCAAGAUCGACAAAAGAGUUAUGCUGACAAGAAAAGACAACCGAUAUCCUUCGAUGUUGGAGAUUCGGUUUUACUUAAAGUCUCGCCGUGGAAGGGACUUAUAAGAUUUGGUAAGAGAGGGAAGUUGAGUCCAAGGUUUAUUGGACCAUUUAAAGUUCUUCAGAGAAUCGGGAGUCAAGCGUACAAGCUAGAGUUACCGGAAGAACUAGAGGGUAUUCAUAACACCUUUCAUGUGUGUUACUUGAGAAAGUUCACAGGAGAUGUGCCCGACAUAAUUCCGAUUUUUGAGUUAAGGUUGGAUGAAAAAAAGAUAUUGAUCGAAGAACCUGAGGCAAUCGUUGACCGUAAGAUUAUGAAGUUACGAUGCAAGAUGGUCGAUUUAGUGCUUGUGCGCUGGAAACAUACGAAUGGACCAAAUCUCACUUGGGAAACGGAGAGUGACAUGAUGAGUCGCUACCCGCAGUUGUUUGGUGAUAUGUGAUUCCGGGGACGGAAUCAUCCUAAGGGGGAGAGAAUUGUAACACUCGUGUUUCUAGCCUAGGCAUUUAUAUUGAGUUGAUAGUCUAGGUUAACCUUUGUAACUCAUUUUGAAGAAAUGAAAAGGAAUUAUGUGAAUAUUAUGUGAAUUAUGUGUUUUAUGCUUAAUUAUUAGGGCUUAAUUAAUUAAGAAUAAAAAUAAGCGUCAAAAUUAAAGUGUGAGAUAAGCCCGAUAUCUUUACAUAAAGUUGCAGUGGUCGAAACAAGGAUUUCAGGGAUAUAAAGAAUACCAAAAUCCGAGUUAUAACGAAGAAGUUAUGACCUGUCGAAGUUUCGCGACAAAACCGACACGGUGCUGAAUGUCGUAAAAAGUGAGUUUUUGAUAAACUACUUUUUAGCCUUAGUAAUCUAAACGAAAGUCGUAGUAUUCGUUAAACCGAGAAGUUCGAUAAAAAGAACGCCCAAAUCUGACUUCGUAUGAGGAAGUUAUGAUUUUUCGAAGUUUCAGCGUAGCAGUAGACAGCUAAAAACUCGAAUUUUAGAUCGAGCGAUUUUUAGCCGACACAACCUAAACGAGAAUUGAAGGUCUCGUCAUUAGGAGCACAACGGUAAAAAGUCUGACGAAAACGGACGUCGGAUGAAGAAGUUAUGAAUUUUUAACGGAUUUCCUGUCCCGGUCUGUUAAAAAUAAUAAUAUAAAAUUUAAAGUCAAAAUUAGCCGACGAAGUCUAAACGGAAGUUGUAGAUCGUAAUUUUAGCUACGCGUGCAUAUAAAGAACGUCAAAAACGGAGCUCGUAUGCGAAAGUUAUGGAUUUUAGAAGUUUUGGCGCGAAAACCGAGAAAUUUCGCAUAGUCACACUUUGCCACGUCACCCUCGCCUCGCAUGUGACACGUGUCCUGCUGAGUCACCGAAGCUGCUGAGUCACCAAGCUGCUGAGUCACGAAGCCACCUGGCGAGGCGUGUCAUGUCCUUCCGAGUCCGAGCUGCGGUCCAAUCCGCUGACUACACGUAGAAGCCUCGGUGGCAAGCCUCGCAUCCGACGCGUGUGUAGUGACUCAUGAGUCCGAACCCUCGCAGGCGCCACGAACCCCCUACUUCGGACCCUAGACCUCGGUCCAAUCACAAGCCGCCAGAGAGCCCUUCGCACGCGCAGCCCUCAUGCGAGCCUCCCCCUCUGCGAGCCUUCUCAGCCGUCGGAUCAGAAGCCUCCUGGCCGUCCGAUCAGAAGCUUCCCCCUAUAAAUAGGAGGGUGCGAGACCUCCCGGGUAUUUUUGGAAUUUUGCCAUAUUUAGCCCCUAAACCCAUAUUUUCUUCAUAUUAACAUCCCGCAAAGCCCCGGUAUCGAUUGUAAAGCCCGGAAUACCCCACGAAGUGCCCGAGAAGCCCGGAAAAUUUAUCUUUUCGGUUUCGAAGCCCGACUUUUACAAAGCCCGGUUUCUCAAUAAAACUCCCGGUUUUAUUAGAAACGAUCGUUUUAGGAAACGAAUUGCUGCCCGAUUAUCAUCAAAUCAUGUGAGUGUAUAGUCACUUUCAUUUUACACAUAGAUAUGAAGUAUUUACCUUAUAAUACGUGCUAUGUGUAAAUAUAUUAAUUAUUUAUUUGAGGUGAUUGUUGUGUUGAUGUUUUAUACAAGUUUUAAACUGUAUAAGUAUUUUUAUCUACAAAUAUGUUGGGUAGAACAUGGGUAGAUUGUGAUGUGUGAUAAAAUAAAAUUGAUGAGAGGCCUCGAUGUGUUUUGAGAUCCAGUCAUCUAGCGGAGUUUGGAUGACGACCACGGACUUUCUAGACAGUCCAGUGGGAAACAUUAGCAGGUCCGCAACCUGUAGGUGUUAAUGAACUAAGAGUGUUCAUUCGCUGUACUCCAUCCCCCUCAUGGUUGCCUUUAGGACAUGUAUGGCUGAGGAAACCCCUUAGCAGUAGUGUCCAUCCCGAUGAUAAUCCUUAGGCUAGGUCCCUUGUGAUAGGUGUUUAGGGACGUAAAGUGAGGACAACGGGAAUGGGUAAUCAGGGUUAUUGUUGAUUGGUGAACUUAAUAAGUAUAUUAUUAUUGUGGGUUGAAAAACCCUAU
rnacentral:lncRNA from 1 species